rnacentral:rRNA from 1 species
UUAAGUGAAUAAGGGCGCACGGAGGAUGCCUUGGCACUAGGAGUCGAAGAAGGACGCGACAAACGGCGAAACGCCUCGGGGAGCUGUAAGUGAGCAUUGAUCCGGGGGUAUCCGAAUGGGGAAACCCGCUAGUGGUUAUACGCUAGCACCAUAUGGUGAAUACAUAGCCAUAUAGGAGACAGACCCAGGGAACUGAAACAUCUAAGUACCUGGAGGAAAAGAAAGAAAAAUCGAUUCCCGUAGUAGCGGCGAGCGAAGUGGGAAGAGCCCAAACCGGAUUUAUCCGGGGUUGUAGGACCUUCAUAAUUGACAAAUCAUGAUAGCCGAAUGGUCUGGGAAGGCCAACCGUAGGGGGUGAGAGUCCCGUAGGUGAAAUUGUGAGAUGCAUGGAAGGAAUCCUGAGUACGGCGGGACACGUGGAAUCCCGUCGGAAUCAACGAGGACCAUCUCGUAAGGCUAAAUACUACCUAGUGACCGAUAGUGAACCAGUACCGUGAGGGAAAGGUGAAAAGAACCCCGGAAGGGGAGUGAAAGAGAACCUGAAACCGUGUGCCUACAAAUAGUCAGAGCCCGUUAAUGGGUGAUGGCGUGCCUUUUGUAGAAUGAACCGGCGAGUUACGAUAUCGUGCGAGGUUAAGCAGAAGAUGCGGAGCCGUAGCGAAAGCGAGUCUGAAUAGGGCGAAGAGUACGAUGUUGUAGACCCGAAACCGUGUGAGCUAGCCAUGAGCAGGCUGAAGGUCAGGUAACACUGACUGGAGGGCCGAACCAGGGCACGUUGAAAAGUGCUUGGAUGACUUGUGGCUAGGGGUGAAAUUCCAAUCGAACACGGAUAUAGCUGGUUCUCUCCGAAAUAGCUUUAGGGCUAGCCUCGAUGUUAAGUCUACUGGAGGUAGAGCACUGAAUGGGUGAUGGCCCCACCUCGGGGUACUGAUCUCAAUCAAACUCCGAAUGCCAGAUAGAUAUAAUCGGGAGUCAGACUGUGGGUGAUAAGGUCCAUGGUCAAAAGGGAAAGAGCCCAGACCGCCAGCUAAGGCCCCCAAGUGUCCGUUAAGUGGAAAAGGAUGUGGAGAUGUACAGACAACUAGGAGGUUGGCUUAGAAGCAGCCAUCCUUUAAAGAGUGCGUAAUAGCUCACUAGUCGAGUGACUCUGCGCCGAAAAUGUACCGGGGCUAAACGGACCGCCGAAGCUGCGGAUUGACUUUAGAGUCAGUGGUAGGAGAGCGUUCUAACAGCGGUGAAGCAGUACCGGAAGGAGCUGUGGAGCGGUUAGAAGUGAGAAUGCCGGUGUGAGUAGCGAAAGAUAGGUGAGAAUCCUAUCCAUCGAAAGCCUAAGGUUUCCAGGGGAAGGCUCGUCCGCCCUGGGUAAGUCGGGACCUAAGGUGAGGCCGAAAGGCGUAGCCGAUGGACAACAGGUUGAUAUUCCUGUACCACUUAUUAAACUGAUGGAGUGACGGAGAAGGCUAAGUUGAGCGUGUGAUUGGAUUCACGUGUAAGCAGUGAGGUGGUCAUGUAGGCAAAUCCGCAUGGCAUAACAUUGAGCUGUGAUGCCGAAGCCGAAUGGCGAAGUCAACUGACGUCACGCUUCCAAGAAAAGCUUCUAGGGUUAAUUUAAUAAGUGCCCGUACCGAUAACCGACACAGGUAGGCGAGGAGAGAAUCCUAAGAUGAGCGAGAGAACUCUUGUUAAGGAACUCGGCAAAAUGACCCCGUAACUUCGGGAGAAGGGGUGCUUGUGAAAGCAAGCCGCAGUGAAUAGGCCCAGGCGACUGUUUAUCAAAAACACAGGUCUCUGCUAAACCGCAAGGUGAUGUAUAGGGGCUGACGCCUGCCCGGUGCUGGAAGGUUAAGAGGAGAGGUUAGCGCAAGCGAAGCUUUGAAUUGAAGCCCCAGUAAACGGCGGCCGUAACUAUAACGGUCCUAAGGUAGCGAAAUUCCUUGUCGGG